rnacentral:rRNA from 1 species
AUUGAACGCUGGCGGCAGGCCUAACACAUGCAAGUCGAGCGGAUGAAGGGAGCUUGCUCCUGGAUUCAGCGGCGGACGGGUGAGUAAUGCCUAGGAAUCUGCCUGGUAGUGGGGGAUAACGUCCGGAAACGGGCGCUAAUACCGCAUACGUCCUGAGGGAGAAAGUGGGGGAUCUUCGGACCUCACGCUAUCAGACGAGCCUAGGUCGGAUUAGCUAGUUGGUGGGGUAAAGGCCUACCAAGGCGACGAUCCGUAACUGGUCUGAGAGGAUGAUCAGUCACACUGGAACUGAGACACGGUCCAGACUCCUACGGGAGGCAGCAGUGGGGAAUAUUGGACAAUGGGCGAAAUCCUGAUCCAGCCAUGCCGCGUGUGUGAAGAAGGUCUUCGGAUUGUAAAGCACUUUAAGUUGGGAGGAAGGGCAGUAAGUUAAUACCUUGCUGUUUUGACGUUACCAACAGAAUAAGCACCGGCUAACUUCGUG